GGACUGGCGGGUGCUUACAAUGCAGUCGAACGGGGGUUUGUAGCAAUACGGACCCUAGUGGCAAACGGGUGCAUAACACGUGGGUAACCUACCUCCGAGUGGGGAAUAACGACCCGAAAGGGUCGCUAAUACCGCAUAAGCUCGCGAGAGGAAAGCCUUCGAAAGGAGGCGCUGGGAGAGGGGCCUGCGUCCCAUCAGGUAGUUGGCAGGGUAAAGGCCUACCAAGCCGAUGACGGGUAGCUGGUCUGAGAGGGCGAUCAGCCACACUGGCACUGAGAGACGGGCCAGACUCCUACGGGAGGCAGCAGUGAGGAAUAUUGCGCAAUGGGCGAAAGCCUGACGCAGCAACGCCGCGUGCGGGAUGAAGGCCUUCGGGUCGUAAACCGCUUUUCCGGGGGACGAGUGAGGACGGUACCCCGGGAAUCGGUCUCGGCUAACUACGUGCCAGCAGCCGCGGUAAAACGUAGGAGGCGAGCGUUAUCCGGAUUCACCGGGCGUAAAGCGCAUGUAGGUGGACCGUCAAGUGGCAUGUGAAAGCCCCUGGCUUAACUGGGGGAGGCCAUGCCAAACUGGCGGACUUGAGGGCCGGAGAGGAAGGUGGAAUUCCCGGUGUAGCGGUGGAAUGCGUAGAGAUCGGGAGGAACACCAGUGGCGAAAGCGGCCUUCUGGCCGGCGCCUGACACUGAGAUGCGAAAGCGUGGGGAGCAAACGGGGAUUAGAUACCCCGGUAGUCCACGCCCUAAACGAUGAGGG
rnacentral:rRNA from 1 species